rnacentral:rRNA from 1 species
AGAGUUUGAUCCUGGCUCAGGAUGAACGCUAGCUACAGGCUUAACACAUGCAAGUCGAGGGGCAGCAUCAUCAAAGCUUGCUUUGAUGGAUGGCGACCGGCGCACGGGUGAGUAACACGUAUCCAACCUGCCGACAACACUGGGAUAGCCUUUCGAAAGAAAGAUUAAUACCGGAUGGCAUAGUUUUCCCGCAUGGGAUAAUUAUUAAAGAAUUUCGGUUGUCGAUGGGGAUGCGUUCCAUUAGGCAGUUGGCGGGGUAACGGCCCACCAAACCUACGAUGGAUAGGGGUUCUGAGAGGAAGGUCCCCCACAUUGGAACUGAGACACGGUCCAAACUCCUACGGGAGGCAGCAGUGAGGAAUAUUGGUCAAUGGACGAGAGUCUGAACCAGCCAAGUAGCGUGAAGGAUGACUGCCCUAUGGGUUGUAAACUUCUUUUAUACGGGAAUAAAGUGAGCCACGUGUGGCUUUUUGUAUGUACCGUAUGAAUAAGGAUCGGCUAACUCCGUGCCAGCAGCCGCGGUAAUACGGAGGAUCCGAGCGUUAUCCGGAUUUAUUGGGUUUAAAGGGAGCGUAGGCGGGUUGUUAAGUCAGUUGUGAAAGUUUGCGGCUCAACCGUAAAAUUGCAGUUGAUACUGGCGACCUUGAGUGCAACAGAGGUAGGCGGAAUUCGUGGUGUAGCGGUGAAAUGCUUAGAUAUCACGAAGAACUCCGAUUGCGAAGGCAGCUUACUGGAUUGUAACUGACGCUGAUGCUCGAAAGUGUGGGUAUCAAACAGGAUUAGAUACCCUGGUAGUCCACACAGUAAACGAUGAAUACUCGCUGUUGGCGAUAUACAGUCAGCGGCCAAGCGAAAGCAUUAAGUAUUCCACCUGGGGAGUACGCCGGCAACGGUGAAACUCAAAGGAAUUGACGGGGGCCCGCACAAGCGGAGGAACAUGUGGUUUAAUUCGAUGAUACGCGAGGAACCUUACCCGGGCUUAAAUUGCAACUGACGGAACCGGAAACGGUUCUUUCUUCGGACAGUUGUGAAGGUGCUGCAUGGUUGUCGUCAGCUCGUGCCGUGAGGUGUCGGCUUAAGUGCCAUAACGAGCGCAACCCUUAUCGAUAGUUACUAGCAGGUCAUGCUGAGGACUCUAUCGAGACUGCCGUCGUAAGAUGUGAGGAAGGUGGGGAUGACGUCAAAUCAGCACGGCCCUUACGUCCGGGGCUACACACGUGUUACAAUGGGGGGUACAGAAGGCAGCUACACGGCGACGUGGUGCUAAUCCCAAAAGCCUCUCUCAGUUCGGAUUGGAGUCUGCAACCCGACUCCAUGAAGCUGGAAUCGCUAGUAAUCGCAGGUCAGCAUACUGCGGUGAAUACGUUCCCGGGUCUUGCACACACCGCCCGUCAAG